AUUGAACGCUGGCGGCAGGCUUAACACAUGCAAGUCGAACGAUGAUUAUCUAGCUUGCUAGAUAUGAUUAGUGGCGGACGGGUGAGUAACAUUUAGGAAUCUGCCUAGUAGUGGGGGAUAGCUCGGGGAGACUCGAAUUAAUACCGCAUACGACCUACGGGUGAAAGGGGGCGCAAGCUCUUGCUAUUAGAUGAGCCUAAAUCAGAUUAGCUAGUUGGUGGGGUAAAGGCCCACCAAGGCGACGAUCUGUAACUGGUCUGAGAGGAUGAUCAGUCACACCGGAACAGAGACACGGUCCGGACUCCUACGGGAGGCAGCAGUGGGGAAUAUUGGACAAUGGGGGCAACCCUGAUCCAGCCAUGCCGCGUGUGUGAAGAAGGCCUUUUGGUUGUAAAGCACUUUAAGCAGGGAGGAGAGGCUAAUGGUUAAUACCCAUUAGAUUAGACGUUACCUGCAGAAUAAGCACCGGCUAACUCUGUGCCAGCAGCCGCGGUAAUACAGAGGGUGCGAGCGUUAAUCGGAAUUACUGGGCGUAAAGCGAGUGUAGGUGGCUCAUUAAGUCACAUGUGAAAUCCCCGGGCUUAACCUGGGAACUGCAUGUGAUACUGGUGGUGCUAGAAUAUGUGAGAGGGAAGUAGAAUUCCAGGUGUAGCGGUGAAAUGCGUAGAGAUCUGGAGGAAUACCGAUGGGCGAAGGCAGCUUCCUGGCAUAAUAUUGACACUGAGAUUCGAAAGCGUGGGUAGCAAACAGGAUUAGAUACCCUGGUAGUCCACGCCGUAAACGAUGUCUACUAGCCGUUGGGGUCCCUUGAGACUUUAGUGGCGCAGUUAACGCGAUAAGUAGACCGCCUGGGGAGUACGGCCGCAAGGUUAAAACUCAAAUGAAUUGACGGGGGCCCGCACAAGCGGUGGAGCAUGUGGUUUAAUUCGAUGCAACGCGAAGAACCUUACCUGGUCUUGACAUAGUGAGAAUCCUGCAGAGAUGCGGGAGUGCCUUCGGGAAUUCACAUACAGGUGCUGCAUGGCUGUCGUCAGCUCGUGUCGUGAGAUGUUGGGUUAAGUCCCGCAACGAGCGCAACCCUUUUCCUUAUUUGCCAGCGGGUUAAGCCGGGAACUUUAAGGAUACUGCCAGUGACAAACUGGAGGAAGGCGGGGACGACGUCAAGUCAUCAUGGCCCUUACGACCAGGGCUACACACGUGCUACAAUGGUAGGUACAGAGGGUUGCUACACAGCGAUGUGAUGCUAAUCUCAAAAAGCCUAUCGUAGUCCGGAUUGGAGUCUGCAACUCGACUCCAUGAAGUCGGAAUCGCUAGUAAUCGCAGAUCAGAAUGCUGCGGUGAAUACGUUCCCGGGCCU
rnacentral:rRNA from 1 species